ensembl:lncRNA
ACAAACUUUUGUGGUUGAUGCGAUCUAUGCAAGACAUCUUUAAACAAAAAAAAAAGAGGAUUAUUUCUGCAUAUUUUUAACAAUGUGUGGGAAUUGGAAAUGUAACUUUCUUGACUAAUUAUUUUAAGUGCAAUAAGCGCUCAAAUGUCUAGACGAAGACCAUCUACGUGACAGCAGAAGCGGACGGUGCUGGAAUGGGAAACACUGGCCAUGAUGGCACAAGAUAUGAUACUUAAUGAUAAUGACUUGAACUGGGUUCCUCUUAAAGAGAUAAGACGAAGAAAACUGGUAUACACACAGCAAGGCGGGAUGGUAUCGACAUUUUGAGCAGAAUCUGUUAGACAGACAGACAGACAGACACAGAAAGACACAUCCCAUGAAUCCAGUGAAAUCUGGAUCGACCUUUCAGGGACUAGAGGACAGUGGACCCACAACUGCAAUCAUUUUUUGCGUUCGGUUACAAGACGCAUGUUCAUAACAGCAUUUCGGUAUGUUAAACAAAAAUAAUAAUAAUAAUAAUAAUAAUAAUAAUAAUAAUCUGAAGCUGAAGAAGACAACGACGAACCUGAUCAGUGCUCAUUUUCAGAGUACAUGCUCUGUCCAAUCACAGUAGCUGCUGUAAUAUCGAACACCCUUCUUAUCCAAUCAGAGCUCAGGGCUUGUGACAUCACUGCAACCCGUGUCAGCAGGUAGCGCGUGAACAUGCAAAUGGAUUGUGAUGCUUUUUUUUCCGUUUGCAGUGCUGAAGUGCUGUCCCGUUCCUGCAGCAAUGCACCAUGGGAGGGAGCAAAGUGGUUCAGUGUGUGUGUGUAUACAAGUUCCACUCUGAGCAACCAAACCACCCAGGUAUCCAGUUUCUUACACAUAUAUUUAUCUACAAGACUGAUGAUUGGACCGUGAUCCCGCUCCGUAACCCUGCGCUGUUUGAGAAGCAGCUUGUCUACGAGAAAAAAAGAACAAAAAAAAAAAAGUCAUGCGUUUAGUGCUGGCUGCCAUUUUCUGAAACAGAAGUGAGCAAAAAAUGAAGAAAUGUGUUUUUUUUUUUUUUUAAAAACGGGACACUAUGGCACCGUGAAGGUUGAUGCAGACAAAAACAUGUACACAUGGAUAUUAAAAGAUCCUUUGUGAGCACGAAUAGGGAUUAUUUCUGUUUUCCUGCUGGAUAUUUGUGUGUGCAAAGCUGUGCGUUCGCAUGAUGAUCCUGGGUUGUGCAAGAAUACGACAAAAUUCCUGAUCAUGAGGGGGCAAGAAAAGAAAAAAAAGAAAAAAAAGAAAAAUUCACAAGCAUAGAUUCUAUUAGAUACAGGAUGCUCCUCUCUGUAACACGUAGUCCCAAAGCUCAGGUGUCCAACAUCACUUCCAGAGUAGAGAUGAUAACAGGGAUCCACCCUAAACUAUGUAAAAUCUCAGCAGCACUUCCCUCUGCUCCUCAGUUUCCACAUCCCUCUCUUCAAGCAUGCGUCCAGUCCCGGGCACACACGGGAGCAGCUGUGGGAGAGGCCAGGAUCAGGUGAGGGGAGGUGUAAGAAGAGCUAGGAGAGUUCAAGUGCAGCUUGGAGAUGUCUGAGCAUUGAGAUGCAGCGGAGACUAAACACGAGAGCGAUUUCUCACAUGGGACCUGUGUAGAACAAGGUGCAAAAUUCAGUCACACAAAAGCAAUUAAAAUCUUAAGUAAUUUAAACUACACUAGGGGCCGUAUUCAGAGUUUAGCUGCGCUUGCAUGACAUAUAAAUCAUAAAUGUGUCACUAUGUCAUCAUAG